rnacentral:lncRNA from 10 species
CCUAGUUCUGCUGGAGUGGAGCUGAGAGAGGCUCUUGGGAGCUGCCUGCGUGGGCAGAGUUUGAAGGCUUAGGAUAUCUCCUGAAGGCCGGAUGGGCCAGUAGAGAUUAACGAGGCUUGAGCUGUCUUGAAAGAUGGCUGCCCUGAGAACUGGCUAGAAGAGGAGACCAAGGAGGCUGUGUGGGUCACCCUUGCAUUGGAGAUGAGGGGAGUCGUGAGAGAUCAGUGGGGAGCCCAUUGCCCUGUUGGGGAACUGCCUGGUGGAGCUUUCCCAGGGAUAUUUUAAAGAACCUACAUGGGAGAAAGCCUGCAUUUGGACAUCUUCCAGGCCAUUCAAUAGCCAAAGAGAACCACCAACAGCUUGAAUCAAAAAAAAGGCCCUCAAAAUAGGCUGAAUGAAAAGAGGUGUGAUCGAUGAAAACUGGCCGCUCCUUCUUUGCAACUCCUUCCAUUAGGUGGUGGAGUCUACGUUGCCCUCCCUUUGAUCCAGGCUGGCCACACAAAUUACUUUCACCAACAGAAUGCUGUAGAAGUGAUACUGCAUGACCUCUGAGCCCAGGCCUUAAGGGACUUUGCAGCUUCUGUUCUUGGCCUCUGGCUGCUCUGUGACUACCAUGGAAGGAGUUCCACACUAACCUCCUGUAGGGUAAGAGACACGUGGAGGCAGACUGAGCCUCCCAGCCAUCCCACUGAGGCUCCAGGCGUGCCAGUGAUGUACCUGGCUGAAGCCUGGCCCCCAGUCACCCACUGACGGCAGCUGCAAAGGUGCCCGUGAUGAGGUGAGCAGAAGCCUAGAAGAAAUUGCAGAAUCAUGAACAAAUGGAUAGCUGCCGUUUUCAGCCACCAAGUCUUGGAGUGGUUUUUCAUGCAGCAAUAGAUACAUGAGACAGGAAGCUUUGGAAGAAGUCAUUUUAGCAUUCAUAAGGGACAAGGAGGGCAAGCUGGGCCUAGCUGGAUUGGAUAGUCGAAUUUCAGAAGGUAGCAUUGCCUAGAUUCAGAAAAAGACCAUUGCAAUCCCACAGAUAGGAGCUCUAAAAGUAAGGUGGCUCAGGAGGGCUGAGAGCAUCUCAAACAGUGAGUUCUGGUGCUAUAAUCACAAAUGAAGCUGAUAAAGAAAACAAAGGUAUUGUCAUAGAAAAACACUGUGAUACCCAAGGAGCCCUGUCCUGAGCUCAGAUUAUAAAGGGGCUUGCAGGGUAUGGAGCGGUGGGGCCAGUGUCUAUGUCCCAGGAAGACAUAAACAUGACACAGACCUGUGUGAAGGGUACCAGGGGCACCGUGGUCCACAGUGAGCUGGCAGUGCCAGCAACAAUAAAAAUGGGCACAUUGAAAAUUUUUGAAGCAAGAAGAACAAGGGGCGAGCCCCUCUCUUUAUGGUGGACAUUAUCAUGUUGAGAGAGGUUUGAGCAAAGCAAUCUUCCCACUUUGCUUGUUUCCUGUCAAGGACAAUAUUCCCUGAUCUGGAGAAAGUAGAAAAAAAUACAGCUGAGAGAACUGAAGCCCAAAUAAGAUGAGGCAGUAGCAAGAACAUGCUUGUUGUUGUUCGAGAUUUUUAUUCCCCAGCCAAAAAUGUCUUUUAUUCUAGAGCUCAAGAAGAGUUCUUGCAGGAUGGUGGCCACACUAAUAGUUCUCGCUAUGGCAGGGUUUCUCCAGGGUGGUCACCUGUAUCAGAAUCCCACCCCCACAUCCCCAACACAGCUGCUUGGCAAGAGCACAGCCUUCCCAACUCUCUCUCCCACUUAUAAUGUCAGACUCUAGGGUGGGGAUCAGCAUUUAGUUAGUGAACACAUGCGUACGACUCCCUGACACUGUUCUAGACAAUGUAGACAUAACUCUCCUUUAAUCUUCAUAACAAUCCUAUGUGGGAGAUUCUAUAUGACCUCUAUUUUAGAGAUAAGAAAACUGAGGCCCAGA